rnacentral:misc_RNA from 1 species
UCUCCGUAGGUGAACCUGCGGAGGGAUCAUUACCGAGUGAGGGUUCCGGCCCGACCUCCAACCCUUUGUGAAUUCGACCCAGUUGCCUCGGGGGCGACCCGGCCUUCGGGCGUCGGGGCCCCCGGUGGACCACCCAACCCUGCAUCUGUGCGUCUGAGUAAAUAUUUGAAUCAAUCAAAACUUUCAACAACGGAUCUCUUGGUUCUGGCAUCGAUGAAGAACGCAGC